rnacentral:rRNA from 1 species
UACGUAGGGUGCAAGCGUUAAUCGGAAUUACUGGGCGUAAAGCGUGCGCAGGCGGCUUUGCAAGACAGAUGUGAAAUCCCCGGGCUUAACCUGGGAACUGCAUUUGUGACUGCAUGGCUGGAGUGCGGCAGAGGGGGAUGGAAUUCCGCGUGUAGCAGUGAAAUGCGUAGAUAUGCGGAGGAACACCGAUGGCGAAGGCAAUCCCCUCGG